rnacentral:lncRNA from 1 species
ACACUUAGUCAUCCCCCAUGAAGUACUGACUGACAGACUAGAGCUCUAUACUGACCGUAACCAAUCACCCGGCCAAGGCUUGAUUCCCGGUCCACCACGAAGGCUCCUAAUCUAAUGCACACCAUCACCACUAAGGCACACAUAUUCACAACUAAUGCACUCACUCACCACUAAGGCACACAUUCUAUUACUCUCACGUCAUAACACUUAUCAAAUCAUAAAAUAAUAAUAUCAUAACCGUAACCAAUCACCCGAUUAAAGGCUUGGAACCCGGUUUGACUAUUUAAACAACAAUUCACAAUAUAAAAAUAUCAUCAACAACAACACAAGAGCACUUCAUAAAUUAUAUCUUUCCACCUAGAUAUAUUUAUAUAACAAAGACAUAGAUAUUCCCACUAGAAUAAAAAUAUCAACAACCAUAUUUCAGCAUCACAAAUCACAUGAUCGGAAGUCCUUUUGAAAGAUUUUAUUUUACCAGAAAGCAUAUUUUCACUUACCCAUAAGCCGUUGACGAUCAAGCUUAUUUAUUUUUAAAACAAAAAUCAUUUUCCUUUAAGGACAAUUUCACAACUAACAAUAAUAAAAUUAUAAAAUAAACUCGGUUUCUUAUGAACCCAUGUGAGAUUUACUCACAAUAUAACAAUAGCAUCAUAAUUAUCAUAUCAUCAACAUUUCCAUCAACAUUAUCAUCAUCAUCAUUAAUCUCAUCAUCAUCAAAAUUAUCAUCAUAAUCAUCAUCAAAAUCAACAUCAUAAUCAUAAUCAUAAUAAUUAUAAAUAUUUGGUCCCAAAGUGGACCUUGGUGAGAUGUUACUCACCUCAAAUCCAGCUGCGUCUUCGCACGCACAACACAAGCAUAUAGCACAAAACCACCCCACAAGUCACCUAUUAACAAAAACGUUAACCUUAGCAACUAUGAAAAACAACAUUAUCCGACUCGAACCGAAACUCAAGUCCUAACCCACGAGCUUGCCACUUGAGACAAAACUUCCUCCUUGACCUCUAAAAGGUCGCCGAAACGUCCAACACAUCCUAUAGAACUACUAACCAGAUUCUCAUGUUCGGAUUACUCAAAAAAAUGAAACGAACGAAACUUAACACCACGGGGAAACCCUAGCAUGCAAU